UCUCUCACUUGUGUCGUUUUCUGUCCGUCGAAGGACGUACACAGACAGGUUGUUUUUACCCUCUCCCCCCUAAACGAAAUCUAACCUUCCUGUCAUUUUGACACACGCCCCCAACGCAGCUGGAGGGACAAUGGGUAUGGCUGGAACGAGUAUGCCAAUGCUAACUACAUUCAAAGUGCUAGUAGCCACUGUGUGCUAGCUAGGGUGAGGGCAUGUGCUGCCGAACGAGCCAGGCAUGUCUCAUCUCGUCACAUCAAGGACACUAAUAUUAACAGCCAUGCAAAUCCUUUAACUGACGACGGAAUGUUGCAGCAACUAGCAUUACUGGCCGCUGGUGCACAGCCAUGGAACCACAAGAUAUGCACUGCGCAUUCUAGACGCUUUGCAUAUGCAGCCACCCUUGCUAUUUAUGUUUAUGUAGUUGAGGAAGGUAGCAGUGAGUAUCAGCUCUUCAGCAUAUUGGCCGAUCAUCGGAAAACUAUAACAUGUUUGGAUUGGCAUCCCACCAGUGAAGAUCUCCUUGCCAGUGCUUCGUUAGAUCAGCGUGUUUGCGUUUGGAGUGUCAGCAGCCAGAGUGUCUUAUAUGCUAUAAGCUAUGUCGCGUCCCAACUGUGGUUGCCUGGUGUGUUGGUCACAGG